CAGCUUACAGUCCUCCUGACAUUAGCAAUGUGCUUGGUUAUUUCUGUGACUGUGAAUAUUGGUUUCAUCUGUUUCCGACCUCCAAGGACAGCCUGUAGCUGCUUUAAAGCUGAAAGGGAGAUCACCACUUCCCAGGAAACAAAUGACUUUAGCCAGCAAUCACGUGGAACUGCUCAAGAUGGAAACGAUGUUAGCUAUGCUGCAUUAGAUUUCUCUGGAGCAAAAGUGAACCAGGGAAGAAAGAAGAAAAGGAUUAAAACGGAAGAAAGUUUGUACUCUUCGGUUAGAAUUUAAGGCAAAUUACUCCAUGUAAAAAUAUCUGGAGUAUAUUUAUGCCCUUUUUUUCUACCAUCACAACA